rnacentral:rRNA from 1 species
AUUGAACGCUGGCGGCAUGCCUUACACAUGCAAGUCGAACGGUAACAGGUCUUCGGAUGCUGACGAGUGGCGAACGGGUGAGUAAUACAUCGGAACGUGCCUAGUAGUGGGGGAUAACUACUCGAAAGAGUGGCUAAUACCGCAUGAGAUCUACGGAUGAAAGCAGGGGAUGGCAAGAACUUGUGCUACUAGAGCGGCCGAUGGCAGAUUAGGUAGUUGGUGGGAUAAAAGCUUACCAAGCCGACGAUCUGUAGCUGGUCUGAGAGGACGAUCAGCCACACUGGGACUGAGACACGGCCCAGACUCCUACGGGAGGCAGCAGUGGGGAAUUUUGGACAAUGGGCGAAAGCCUGAUCCAGCAAUGCCGCGUGCAGGAUGAAGGCCUUCGGGUUGUAAACUGCCUUUGUACGGAACGAAAAGCCCCGGGUUAAUACCCUGGGGUCAUGACGGUACCGUAAGAAUAAGCACCGGCUAACUACGUGUCAGCAGCCGCCGUAA